AUACGGAGGGGGCUAGCGUUGUUCGGAAUUACUGGGCGUAAAGGGCGCGUAGGCGGAUUGUCAAGUCAGAGGUGAAAGCCCUGGGCUCAACCUGGGAACUGCCUUUGAAACUAACGGUCUAGAGUCCGAGAGAGGAUGGCGGAAUUCCCAGUGUAGAGGUGAAAUUCGUAGAUAGUGGGAAGAACACCAGUGGCGAAGGCGGCCAUCUGGCUCGGUACUGACGCUGAGGCGCGAAAGCGUGGGGAGCAAACAGGAUUAGAAACCCCAGUAGUCC
rnacentral:rRNA from 1 species